CCUCUGUUUCUGGUUUUGAAGAAGAAAUCCUUUUCUCAGCCCAUUGUGCAGAUAGGCAGAUUUCCAAUGAAAGCGCCACUUGCCUAUAAGCUGGUAUGCCUCCAGCUCCCCAGGGUCCUGUGUACCUUUGUCUGUCUCCUGGGUGUCUGGACCUCAGGAGAUCAAAGUUCUGAUACUCAGACUUCUCUGUAUGGGGUUCAGGGAGGUUCCAUCCUGUUUCAGUUGAACACAAGCUUAGGAAAAAUGAUCCAAAGGGUCGAUUGGAGCCUUGACUCUAAGAAAAAACAUCUGCCUCUGUUCAGCCUCGAGCCUGAGACUGGGAAUCUAACUUUGAAGAAGAGUCUCCUCUGGAACAGAUAUGAGCAAAGAGCUCAUGUAACACCAACAUCCCUGAGAAUUGACAACCUCAUUCUUGAGGAUAAUGGAAACUUCAAAGUCCGAAUACAUCAUGAUGAAGUAAUCAGUGAACAAAGUUUCUUUCUCUCUAUUUAUGAACCGAUUCUCCCCAAGAUCAAGAUAAUCUCAAAGUCCCAGACAUCAGAUGGAUGCAACCUCACCUUGGAGUGCCAGAUCCUGAAGAUCUCAAAUGAUACAACUGUAACCUGGGGAAGUGGAGAUAUCCCCAAGAGGCAGGAGGAGAGCCUAGGGCUGCCCUCCAAUUCUAGGAUACUGAAUCUGUCCCUACCACCGAACCUCCAGAAUUCCUCUGUCACUUGCUUGGCUAAGAACCCUGCAGAGCAACAAAAGUCGACAUUAAAACUAAGUGAUGCCUGUCCUGAGAAGUCUUCAAGUGAGUGUGGCCUUCUAUGGUGGUGGUGGUGGGGUUGUAUGGAAGAAAUCAAGGGGAGAAGGAAGCAUAACUAUAGAAGUUGGGGAAACCUUGGGGAAAGAGGCAGUGGGAGGGCCAUUUACCUUCUCCAUUAAUCUUGCCUCUGAUUUGACAUUUCUAUUGAUGGUAUCAUUAUUCCUUCAGGCACCCAGAUACUUAAUUUUGUUAAAUUAGGUCCAAUCCAUGGUUUCCCUGACCCUCCCCCACUCAGGUGGCCUCUUACCACCAUUCUGUAUAUUGUCUCUAUCUCUUUCCCCUUAAAUUGAAAUCUGUUAUUUCCUUCAUGUUCUUACCUCUCCUCUUCUCUAUGACUGGGUCAUGUCAGAUCCCCAAACCCCAAAGUCACCAUGGUUCAUUGGAAGUUUCCUUCUGGUCAUAUUGCUGGUGAUCCUGGGGAUUGGAUUGUCGAUCGACAGAAGAAAAGAAAGGAAGAAAGAAGGUAUUAGUUGAAGUCGAGGAUCUUCUCCUUUCUCCUUUUAAGUAUGGCCCCAUCCCUUGCUAGUUUUGGACAGAGGUAGUUCCUAAUAAAGGGUGGUGGGUGUGCA
rnacentral:lncRNA from 1 species